UAGAACGAAGCUCGCUGGAUAGAGUUUUUAGCUGUUAAUUAAAUUGUCGCGGGGUCGAGGCCCGCCGUUCUAG
rnacentral:tRNA from 1 species